UACGAACUGUGCGAACGUUAUUCGGAAUUACUGGGUGUAAAGGGUUCGUAGGCGGUGUGGCAAGUCGGGAGUGAAAUCUCUGGGCUCAACCCAGAGUCUGCUUCCGAAACUGCUGUGCUUGAGUGUGGGAGAGGCGCGUGGAAUUGCAGGUGUGGCGGUGAAAUGCGUAGAUAUCUGCAGGAACACCCGUGGCGAAAGCGGCGCGCUGGACCACAACUGACGCUGAGGAACGAAAGCUAGGGGAGCAAACAGG
rnacentral:rRNA from 1 species